rnacentral:pre_miRNA from 1 species
CCCCGUCCCAAAAUAAGUGCAGCCAUGAGUUUCAGCGCCCUACUUUGAUCAUCCGUCUUAUUUUAAAUUUUUUUAUAAUUAGCAAUUUUGUAGUUAUAAGAUGAUAAAACAUAAAUACUAAUUUACUCGUGAAUUAUGUUUUUAAUUCUUUUCAAAAAAUUUUCAAAUAAGACGAGUUGUUAAAGUUGGGCGCGGAAAACCAUGACUGCACUUAUUUUGGGACGGAUGGA